rnacentral:rRNA from 1 species
UUUUAUGGAGAGUUUGAUCCUGGCUCAGGAUGAACGCUGGCGGCGUGCCUAAUACAUGCAAGUCGAGCGAACGGACGAGAAGCUUGCUUCUCUGAUGUUAGCGGCGGACGGGUGAGUAACACGUGGAUAACCUACCUAUAAGACUGGGAUAACUUCGGGAAACCGGAGCUAAUACCGGAUAAUAUUUUGAACCGCAUGGUUCAAAAGUGAAAGACGGUCUUGCUGUCACUUAUAGAUGGAUCCGCGCUGCAUUAGCUAGAUGGUAAGGUUAAGGCUUUCCCAGGCAAAGACGCAU